rnacentral:lncRNA from 1 species
GGGGGGCCACCAGGCUGUCCCUGGCUGGUUGUCUUUGGAACAAACUGCUUCCAUGCAGAUCGAACACAUUUCAUCCUUAAGAGAGCAAUUGUUCCUCAGGUUCUGAGGACAGGAAGGUGUCCAGGCAGCAUAGUCUCUGUGAGAAUCUCCUGGGUAAAGGCAUAUUGGGUUUGCUCCCCUUGCUGCUGCUCCUGCAUCCCUGGAGGAGGCUUGCACCGAGGCAGGACCAUGCGGCCAUGGCUGCUGCAUUCAUUCAGCACAAAGGUGCAGCUGCAGCAGCAGCUGGAGAGUAAGAUCUGCCCAGCCUGUGCUCCAGAAUGCAGAGGCUCCUAACCUCACAGCCAGUCCCUAAUAGAACACACACAGGAGCAGAGUCUCCUCCCCCUCCAGGCUGCCCUCUCAACUUCUCCCUCACCUCCUCCUCCCCUAGGGGUAGACAGAGAUGUACCAAACCUUCGGGCUGGAAAGGCCAGUGGUCGGCGCCGAGCCUCCGUGGUGUCUCACCCCCCGCCAGGGCUGAACCUCUGUCUGUCCCUGGUCCUGCUGCUCACAGGACAGACGGCUCGCUCCCCUCUUCCAGCAGCUGCUCUUACAGGCACUGAUGAUUUAGCUGGGAAAUGUGGCGGGCAGCUUUCCCCAAGUGUGGAUGGUUCCUUUGCAAUUCCAGUACUAAGUGAAUGCGCUCAGGAGCCUUUUUCCUCCUGCCAGAACAGGACCCAUCUCUCCCAAGACCCCGGGGAUCUUAAGGUCAUUGAGAAAUACUGUUUGAUCAGGGUUUUCUUCUUCCACACUGUAGGUGACCCCUUGGAAUAAUGGCCUCUCCUCUCUUUUGCACAUACCUACCGGUUUCCACAACUGGAUUUCUACAGAUCGAUCAGCUGGUUAUAAGGGUUUUGUUUAAACUGUCCAAGUUAUUGAUGUCAUUUUGUUUUUGUCUUAUGUAGGUGGCUUUUCUUUAAGUAGAAAACACUAGCAGUGUAGUGCCCAUCAUAACAAAUGCUUCAGAAACACUUCAAUAAAAGAGAAAACUUGGCUUGUGUGAUGGUGCAGUCAUUUUACUGGACCAACCCACCCACCUUGACUAUACCAAGGCAUCAUCUAUCCACAGUUCUAGCCUAACUUCACGCUGAUUUCUCCGCCUCUUGAUUUUCCUCUUUUGUGUCCAAAUAAUCUUAAGCUGAGUUGUGGCAUUUUCCAUGCAACCUCCUUCUGCCAGCAGCUCACACUGCUUGAAGUCACAUGAACCACUGAGGCACAUCAUGGAAUUGAUGUGAGCAUUAAGACAUUCUCCCACACAGCCCUUCCCUGAGGCAGCAGGAGCUGGUGUGUACUGGAGACAUUGUUGAACUUGAGCUGUGUGAGACCCAGACCACCCCAGGUCUCCUUCGUUUGACAUACCGUUGGAUGUCAUGACGUUUGACAUACCGUUGGAACGAGCCGCCUCCUCAGAAGAUGGAAGACCAUGUUCGUGGCCGACCGGGCCUCUCCUUCUGGCCUGUUUCUUAAGAUGCGGAACCACAUUUCAGUGGUAGGAAAAGUGGCUUCGUAAAAUAGAA